GCCGACUCUUACCCUUCUUCUUCUUUCUCCCACUAAAUGAAAGCUCUCCCUCUCUUCUCUCUUAAAUCGAAGGUUUCUCUCAAAAUCCCUCUUCCCACCAAUCUUCACCCUUAAAUUGUCCAUUAAGGAACCAACUUCCACUCCUCUUUCUUCCUCGUUUGGGUGGUUCGAGCUUGCCCUAGAUUCAACUCCUUUUUUCCAAAUCGGUAAUUUACCUCCCCAAAAUUCUUAUUUUUUCUUUUAAAAUCCUUUCCUCUCUACCUCUCAUUUAGUCUCCUAAGCUCCUAGCAAGUCUCUUUUGUCCAAAUGGCUCCCAAAAUGAAGCUACCGCAAAGAAGAAAAUCUGUUCGCGGGUUGAAAGAGAGUAUGCACAGAAAAAGAAUGGCAGCUAAGCCCUCUCCUGCUCUAAUCCC
rnacentral:lncRNA from 1 species